rnacentral:rRNA from 1 species
GACGAACGCUGGCGGCGUGCUUAACACAUGCAAGUCGAACGAUGAAGCCGGAGCUUGCUCUGGUGAAUUAGUGGCGAACGGGUGAGUAACACGUGAGUAACAUGCCCUUGACUCUGGGAUAACUGCUAGAAAUGGUAGCUAAUACCGGAUACGACCCUCGGAGGCAUCUCCAGGGGGUGGAAAGAAUUUCGGUCAAGGAUGGACUCGCGGCCUAUCAGCUAGUUGGUGAGGUAACGGCUGACCAAGGCGAUGACGGGUAGACGGCCUGAGAGGGUGACCGGCCAAACUGGGACUGAGACACGGCCCAGACUCCUACGGGAGGCAGCAGUGGGGAAUAUUGCACAAUGGGCGCAAGCCUGAUGCAGCAACGCCGCGUGAGGGAUGACGGCCUUCGGGUUGUAAACCUCUUUUAGUAGGGAAGAAGCGAAAGUGACGGUACCUGCAGAAAAAGCACCGGCUAACUACGUGCCAGCCGCCGCCGUAA